rnacentral:lncRNA from 1 species
UGCUUGUUCUUACUCUCUCAUUUUAUUCAAAAUUUAAAACAAUGCCAAUGCCUUUGUGCCCUAUGGCAUGGAUUUAAAAUAAUAACUAAAAUACAUAACAAACACAAUCCUCUCUCAUUCAUGCAUAUGCAGUAACAGAGAAAAAAUUACAAAAAAAAACUCAUGCUCUCUCUUAUGGCCACUUCUCUCUCAAUAUCACUGUGGUGGGGGGAGGGCAACACCCC